AAUAAUAGAGCUGUAUCCUCAGAGACAGGAGGACCAGAGCACAGUUACACCAUUAAAAACAUCACACUGCAGGAUGCAGGAGAAUACUACUGUGAGGCAGAGAAUGAGAUUGGGAUAAACAAGUCUUCUCCUGAACAUCUUGAUGUGCAGUAUUCUCCCAGGAACACCUCAAUGUCAGUGAGCCCCUCUGGUGAAAUAGUGGAGGGCAGUUCAGUGACUCUGACCUGCAGCAGUGAUGCCAACCCACCAGUGCAGAGAUACACCUGGUAUAAGAAUAAUAGAGCUGUGUCCUCAGAGACAGGAGGACCAGAGCACAGUUACACCAUUAAAACCAUCACACUGCAGGAUGCAGGAGAAUACUACUGUGUGGCAGAGAAUGCGAUUAGGACAAACAGAUCUCCUCCUAAACGUGUUAAUGUGCUGUGUGAGUAUAUCAGCGUGUUUCAACUUCACACAAAUGGCUGGCAGGAACAGGACUCAGUAUUAGCUUUUCUGGCAUGACAUCCUGGAACAGUGGACAGUACAACUAUGAGCCAAACAACACAUUUCAAGCUCAGAACGACGCCGCUGUAGCUUUGAAGAUGCUCCUAAGAACACCGCAGUAUCAGUGAGCCCCUCUGGUGAAAUAAUGGCGGGCAGUUCAGUGACUCUGACCUGCAGCAGCGAUGCCAACCCACCAGUGCAGAGAUACACCUGGUUUAAGAAUAAUAUUGCUUUAGCUUCAUGGACAGGAUCAGGACUGAAUCACACCAUCAGUAACAUUGUCUCUGAGGACAGUGGACAGUACUACUGUGAGACACGGAACCAACAUGGAACUCAAAAUUCUUCUGCUGCUGUGACCAUAGAUGUCCAGUAUCUUCCCAAGAACACCUCAGUGUCAGUGAGCCCCUCUGGUGAAAUAGUGGAGGGC